GCGAGGGUGGCGGAAUUGGCAGACGCGUACGGCUUAGGACCGUAUGCCGAAAGGCUUGAGGGUUCAACUCCCUUCCCUCGCA
rnacentral:tRNA from 1 species